CCUACGGGAGGCAGCAGUAGGGAAUCUUUCACAAUGGGCGAAAGCCUGAUGGAGCAACGCCGCGUGCAGGAUGAAGGCCUUCGGGUUGUAAACUGCUUUUAUAAGCGAGAAAUAUGAUGGUAACUUAUGAAUAAGGAUCGGCUAACUACGUGCCAGCAGCCGCGGUCAUACGUAGGAUCCGAGCAUUAUCCGGAGUGACUGGGUGUAAAGAGUUGCGUUGGUGGCAUAAUAAGUAGCUAGUGAAAUCUGGUGGCUCAACCAUUCAGACUAUUAGCUAAACUGUUAAGCUCGAGACCGUUAGGGGUAACUGGAAUUUCUAGUGUAGGAGUGAAAUCCGGAGAUAUUAGAAGGAACACCAAUAGCGUAGGCAGGUUGCUGGGACGGUUCUGACACUAAGGCACGAAAGCGUAGGGAGCAAACGGGAUUAGAUACCCGGGUAGUC
rnacentral:rRNA from 1 species